rnacentral:rRNA from 1 species
UACGUAGGGACCAAGCGUUGUUCGGAUUUACUGGGCGUAAAGGGCGCGUAGGCGGCAAUUCAAGUCAGCUGUGAAAUCUCCGGGCUUAACUCGGAACGGUCAGCUGAUACUGCUUUGCUAGAGUGCAGAAGGGGCAAUCGGAAUUCUUGGUGUAGCGGUGAAAUGCGUAGAUAUCGGGAGGAACACCAGUGGCGAAGGCGACUACCUGGCCUGUUCUUGACGCUGAGGCGCGAAAGCUAGGGGAGCAAACGGG